CGUACGGGUGGCAGCAGUGGGGAAUAUUGGGCAAUGGGCGCAAGCCUGACCCAGCAACGCCGCGUGAAGGAAGAAGGCUUUCGGGUUGUAAACUUCUUUUCUGAGGGACGAAGAAAGUGACGGUACCUCAGGAAUAAGCCACGGCUAACUACGUGCCAGCAGCCGCGGUAAUACGUAGGGGGCAAGCGUUAACCGGAUUUACUGGGUGUAAAGGGCGGGUAGGCGGGAAAGGAAGUCAGAUGGGAAAACUCCGGGCUCAACCCCGAGCCUGAAUUUGAAACGGUUUUUCCUUAGGGCAGGAGAGGCAAUCGGAAUUCCGUGUGUAGCGGUGAAAUGCGUAGAUAUACGGAGGAACACCAGUGGCGAAGGCGGAUUGCUGGACAGUAACUGACGCUGAGGCGCGAAAGCGUGGGGAGCAAACAGGAUUAGAUACCCUAGUAGUC
rnacentral:rRNA from 1 species